GUCCUCAUUUCAGCAGCGCAUAUACUUAAAGUGGAAUGAUACAGAGAUAAUUAGCAUGGCCCCUGCACAAGGGUGACAUACAAAUUCUUUUUUUUUUUUUUUUUUUC